GGGAGGAGGCUAAGCCCUCUUUCCCCCCCUCCCCCCACACCUGCAGUACGCUUGGGACAGUGUAUAACUGGACCGAACUCUGCCUGUGGCCAAGGCUAGGGGGCUUUUUCCCCCCUCACUGCAUUAAGACUGGUGGGAGGUGGAUUUUAAGGCUCAGCAUUUAAGCAGACCCAAUGGGAUGGGCUGCUGACGAAACAGCUCGGAGCUAGGGAAAGGAAUCCCAGGCAAAAUUGGAGAUGGACCGAAGAGAGGCUCGGAGGAUGUCUCUACCGUGAUCUAAACGGAGGACAGCCGAAAACCCGAGGAGGAAUCAACAUUCCAGGACACGGACGCUUGAUAAGCUAAACUACACUGCAGCAGCCUAUGAACCGAGGCAGAUGAAGAUAAAACAUCCUGACAAUGCACACAUGCUUCACCUCGAACCAAACCAAGAUUGUUGUAACAGUUUGUCGCUCCUCUGUCUGAUGCUCAAGGUUGGCACAUGAAGUUACUGAAGCAGCUUCAGCAAGAAUUACCAGGCACUCAGUGACAAUAUCAGCAUAUGAUUUUUUUCCUCCUGUGAUAUUCCUUUCAGCAUUGUUUUCUUUUUAAUGAUCGGUUGAUUAUUAUCACUUCAGCUUUACUUCACUGCCUGCUGCACACAUUUUCUUCUUGUCAUCCUUGCUCUUCUUUUUUUUCUCUUUCUCAUCAGUUCUCCCUUUCAUCACUUCAGAGUAUGCUGUUAGCAAAUGCCACCCACAGAUUUAACAACAAUUUUAUGGCCCAUUGUAAAACUAGUCCACAUUUCAUUCUUUUCUCAUUAUUUGUGCUCUGACCAUGUGUAAAAGGGGAGACAAUCUUACAGUGUCUCUCUGAUGCCACGUCCUGGAUGGAACCUCUGAGAAUCAUUUUAAUACACAAUGAGGAUAAUUUAAGAUGUUGACUAGAUCUCAACUAAAUAAAGUAACAGCAUUUUUCCUUUA